GACGAACGCUGGCGGCGUGCCUAAUACAUGCAAGUUGAGCGCUGAAGGUUGGUACUUGUACCAACUGGAUGAGCAGCGAACGGGUGAGUAACGCGUGGGGAAUCUGCCUUUGAGCGGGGGACAACAUUUGGAAACGAAUGCUAAUACCGCAUAAAAACUUUAAACACAAGUUUUAAGUUUGAAAGAUGCAAUUGCAUCACUCAAAGAUGAUCCCGCGUUGUAUUAGCUAGUUGGUGAGGUAAAGGCUCACCAAGGCGAUGAUACAUAGCCGACCUGAGAGGGUGAUCGGCCACAUUGGGACUGAGACACGGCCCAAACUCCUACGGGAGGCAGCAGUAGGGAAUCUUCGGCAAUGGACGAAAGUCUGACCGAGCAACGCCGCGUGAGUGAAGAAGGUUGUCGGAUCGUAAAACUCUGUUGGUAGGGAAGAACGUUGGUGAGAGUGGAAAGCUCAUCAAGUGACGGUAACUACCCAGAAAGGGACGGCUAACUACGUG
rnacentral:rRNA from 1 species